GACGGAAGGUGCAAGCGUUGCUCGGAUUUAUUGGGCGUAAAGGGUGCGUAGGCGGCGGAGUAAGUUGGGUGUGAAAUCCCGGGGCUCAACCUCGGAAUGGCAUUCAAUACUGCUUCGCUAGAGUACUGGAGAGGAGGCUGGAAUUUACGGUGUAGCAGUGAAAUGCGUAGAUAUCGUAAGGAAGGCCGGUGGCGAAAGCGAGCCUCUGGACAGUUACUGACGCUGAUGCACGAAGGCCAGGGGAGCAAACGGG
rnacentral:rRNA from 1 species